ensembl:lncRNA
GUUCCCCUUAGCUGUGUUUUAACUUCUAAAUUAUUCUAUUUUUUUUCUAUGAACAUUUUAAUGAAGGGUUGAAUGUAAAAUAGAAAAAUAACAUUCUGAUUCCUUUUUUUAAGAUGCAGACUUUUCUUGAGAUUUUCAUUCAAGGCAAUACACAAAGAAUGUUAACCUGUUAAAGAAAACACAUAUUCUCCCCCAGAAAAAGGCACUUGUCCAAAUAAGUAUCAUAGUCAUCCUUGACUCUGAAACUCUCAGACAUCAGCCUGCUUUGUUUUCUUUUGGAAACAAUUCAACUCAGAUUCAAACCCUGCUGCUUUCUGAGGAUGGGAACACCUGGCAUGCCAUCAGCUGAACACAGUGGUGCCUGGAGCAAAUGUUGCUUAAGGAGGUGGCCAGGAGGGAUGCUGUAUGAGGGUGUACGUGCUUGCUUCUCCUUCCGAGGGUGUGGGCAGCCAGAGGCUACUGCUCCUGCAGCAAGCCUUGCUCACUCUCUGUGGACAGAUAAGUCAUCCAGCAGGUGGGCUGGGAUCAGGCCUCUGUGGCCACCCAACUCACCAUAAUAGAAUCCCUUAUCAUCCACAGGCCCAAAGACAGUGACUACAUCCCCAGCCCUCAGAGCCAAUUUUCCCUUUGCCCUGCUCCCUGCUUUCCUAUCCCUGGGAUCAUAGUCCAGAGCCACCAUCAUGGUCUUUGGGGUCCACAGUGCAGGUCCCCUGGAGUUCCCUUGGGGCCUGAGGAAGGAAACCUGGGGCCUGGUGGGCCCCUCAAAGUCCUCAAGGUGGUCCACAGAAGGCAGGUGCCCUUGUGCUGGCAAAUGCCACCUCCUGUCAGGCUGUUCUGUGCCCACCUCCACCUCAGCCACCAGGUGCCCAGGGAUAUUGCCCACUUGUCCAUUGCACUCGGCAUGGUAGAAGCAAUAGGGGUCCUGAGAACCCCAUGCUCUCAGAAAUUGACCUUUCUGGAAGGCUAGGUCCUUCUCUGCAGCUUUGGGGUUGGCAGACAUUGCUAGGGGAUUAUAAUCAAAGAGGGCCACAAAUAUCCUGGCUGGAGUGUUGGCCUCUGGCCCUAGCUGUGGGGGACCACCUCAAGACAUCUUAAUGACCUUGUUGGAUGGAGCUGGAUCUAGCAUGGAGGUGGGCUCACAGAGCUGGCACUCUUUCUUGCCCACCAGAGCCUGUCCUUGCCUGCACUGGGGCCCAAGCUUCUCUUUCUGCUCUUGCGUCCCUGUGUACCAAGGAGCCAAGAUCAUCUCCUCCUCCAAUAUGUUAUAGGAGUCAGCUGCAUACUGCUGGCUGGUGCCCUGCUGGGAAGGUGUGGACACUUGGGCAUCUUGCUUUUGCCUAAGAGCCUUCUCACGGGCAGCCUUCUCCUGACACAGCUCUUUCCUGGGCCCACACUUAGGGGACAGAUGGUUGAAGCAUGGAGAUGAGCCUUUGCUGGUGUUCAUGUGCCCAUAGUGGUUUUCCUCUAUCACAGACUGGCCACUGGGCGGAAGUGGCCUGUGGUUCUGGGGACUCUUCUGAAAGGGCAGGUCCUUUCUGCAGCCCUUCUGGACCUCUGUGGGCCCUUGGGCUUGCUUGCCAGCUUCUUCUGAGCUCAGGUUGGACAAUGGGGGGUGCUUCCUCAGGGGUUCUUCAGGCAGUACUUCUGGAAACUUGGCCUGAGGUUCCCCACAGCUCUCAGGGGAGUGAGGGCCCACUCUGGUAUUCAAAGAAGCCAGCACCAUCUUCUGAUGGUAGAUGGGGAAGGUGACUCUGAAGGAGAAUGGGUCACCACAGGUGUUGCUCAAGGGAGGAAUCUCUGGUAAUAAGUCAUAAAUGAAGCAGUCCUCAGGGAUCUGAGCCGGCACUGAAUCCAGAGACUCACCACACAGUGACAUGGUUCUCACUGAGAGCUUCUGGCAUGUUAGGGGUACCUGUAGCUGGGACAAUUCCAACAGAGUGCUCCCAGCAGUGGCAUCAGUGACCUCUGCAACCUUGAGUCCAUCUGCAUACACAGCAUAGCCAGUGACUUGCACUCCAUUGGAGGAUCCAGCUGAGUCAAUGGUCACAGGGAUCCAGGUGACCACUAGGAAGCCUGGCAAGGUAUGGUGCUCCACCAGCACAUCCAGUGGAGGGUCUGGGGGUCCUGCUAAGGGUGUGUUGAAGGUAAUGGUGGAGGACACCGUUUCCCAGGACACCUGCUCCAAGUCCCAGGGCAGCCCCACCUCCACCUCCACCUGAGCCUGGUACUGUGUGCCAGGAUGUAGGCCUUGAAAGGUGUAGCAGCUCACACCUGAGGGGGUCAGGGCAUGUUCCUGGUCAUCAAGGUACACCACAUGGGGGUGUCUGCUACUGCCAUAGACCCAGGCGAUUUCAGCAGAUGUGGCUGUGACUCUCUGCAAAUGCAGUUGCGUAGGGCCCACAAAGGGCAAUCCUUUGGUCCCCAGACAGGGUAUGCAGAAGCUCUGCUCUUGAAUAUUCUGUGAUGAGUCCAGCCAGCAGGACUCUUUCUUGAUCUCUAAGUUCUCUAUUGCCUUUUCUGUUUUGGAACCCUCUCUUCCCACCUGGCCUGGCCCUCUAUCCACUGAUCCCUGGCCCUCCCCAAGUAAUAAGCUGGCUUCCUUUGAGGCUUUACUCUGUCCAACAGGUAGUAUGGUGGGGCCUAAGUGAUUUGGGGACUCAAGUGACCUGGGAGACAGGUUGCUUAGGUAGGGGCUGUCUGGAAUCUGUUCUAACAAGUUGGAGGGCACCAGCCCCUGCUGGCCAUUCUCAAGCUCCCCUUCAUAGAAACCAUCUUUGUCCAAAUCCCCAAAGACAUACACAUAAUCCCCAGCUGUGAGGGGUAGCUCACUCUCAGGAUGCUCAUUGGGUCCCUCAAAUGGUUUGUAGCUAUAUCUAGCCUGGAAGAUCUUGAGCUUGGAGGUAGAGGGUGCCUCAGGGUCCCUCACUUCCAGUGAGGGAGAUACACUGUCUGGCUCCAGAUCAUCCACCUCACUGGCUGUGUCCACAUCCAGAGUAAGGCAAGAUGGCACAGUGGCCCACAUGGACUCCACCUCAGAGAAGGAGGUAGACUGGGAGCUGGUUUUCUUGGCUUGACACCUGGAGUCCAGAUGCUGGUUGGCAGGGACUCUGUCUGACACAAGGAGGGAACUAGCUGGUUCCCCAAGGGGAACUGGACCUUCCUGCAGGGUGGGACAAACAGGAGGCUGCUCUUUGGUAGGCUGUGAUGGUGCACAGUCUUCAGCCUGUGACUGGAACUUGUGCCUUCCUCCACCUGUGGCUUGGGACACCAGGGCUUGGGUGGCCUCCUGUGGCUGCUCGGGAAGAUGGCCAAGCUGAUCUUGCAAUGUCUUCAACUCCUUCCUGGCAGCCUGCAGGUCGCUCAGGGCCUUUUGCAGGUCGUGCUGCAGCUGCUGCUGCCUAUUCUGCCCGAGCGCCGCCUGUUGAAGCAGCUGCUCGGCCAGAAGGCCGGCGGCGUCGCGCUCCUGGCACGCGCGGCCCAGCUGCCCGUGUACGUCGCUUUUCUCGCCAGCCACCUUUCGCACCCAGUGGGACUGGGCCUGCCGUCGCUCGUUCUCCUCCGUCAGGCAGGCGCCCUUGCACAGCGCUGCCUGCAGUUGUGCCUCUGCCUCCUCGCCGUGCCUCUGUGCCGCCGCAGCCUGCACGCUCAACGCCUUGGAAUUGCGCCGCUCUGCGUCCAACUCGCGCUCCAGUGCCUGCACCCGGCGUCGUGACUCCUCGCAGUGUGGGCUCUGGCUUGUCACUUCUGACCGGGCGCAUGCCUUGCCCUGCUGCAGCGUCAAUUGCCGCUGUAGGGGCAGAACUUCCCGCUGGGACUCGCGCUGCAGCCGGUCCAAAUCGCUGAAGUUGAGCCGCUGCGCAUGAGGGACGCCCCCUGCAGGAUGCGAAGGGCUGUCUAGGCCGGUGGCUACGCGCGCCUGCAACAGGUGGCACUCCUGCUUCAGCUCUUCGAUCUGUUUGUCUUUGGCUAGCAGCACGCUGGCCUGCUCUGACAAGUCCCUGGCGCGCUGGCGGGCAAGGGCCUGGCACAGCUCCAGGCCGGCUCGGUUCUCGCCUAGCACGGGCGCACUCAGCGCUCGCAGGUUGGUCUCUUGCAGCUUUCGGGCACGGUCCUCCAGGCGCUGUGCGAGGCCUGCCAGCUCCGCGUGCUUCAUCUUGAGCCGUUUCACCUUCUCGUCCUCGCGUGGGCCGCCACCGCGCCGCAGCUGCAGGUUAUCUUCGCGCAGUUCCGAGCAGCAGCGUGCCAGCCUCUGCAACGCUUCGCUCAGCUCCGAGUUCCGCUUCACCAGUGCACAGUAGUUGCGGCCCAGCGGUGAGGGCGUCAGACCUUCUGGGGGCUGGUUUCCACAGCCUUCUCCUCCGCGCGGGUCUUUUGGUUUUCUGUGUGACCUAGGCGGCGAGGAAUUUGGGGAGCCCGCGACAAAGGUGUCUGUCGAGGAUGCUGGCGCCUCAGACUCGGAGGCCUUGGGGCAACUCAGCGUGCUGUAGAGCGAGCAGCAAGAAGCCUUCGCCAAGAAAUCCAGGGAGCUGGCGCGCGCGGGGAGCCUGCCAUCAGGGGAGCCGGAGCGCGCCUCCGGGAACCUCUCCAAAGAGCGGGAGCGAACGCGGACCGCGGCGGAGGCCCCAAGUCGAGGGGGGGGGGCUUUAGGGUGCGGCGAGCACUUUUGGCAGUUUCGAGGAGUGGCUCUUCCGAGGAAUUAUCGGCCUGGGGGUCGGGAGGCCCUGGUAAAGGGGGCUGCCAGCGAAAGUGCUCCAGUAUGUGUUUGAGGAACAGCUGGCGCUCCACGUCGAGCGCCGCCUGCAGGUGGCGGAUGCGCGCGGCCUGCUCGCCGUCAGUCUCCCAGCGAAGCUGCCGCAGCACUUCUUGCAGGCGACAGCGGCACUGCUCGGCGGGGACCUCGGGCGUCCCGCUGCAGCUGCAGUAGCCGCGGUUCACCAGCUCCUGGGCCAGCUGGCGCUGCAGAUCGCGGGCCUGGCGCACCACGCCGUCGCGCUCACGGCCCAGCAGCUGCUGUAGCUGCCGCAGCUCGGCCUCCUUCCAGCGCAGCAGCUGCCGGAUCUCGGCCUCGCGCUCCCGCUGCACCUCCGCCUGCAGCUGCCGCAGCUCCCGAAAGCGCUGUGCCUCCCAUUUGGAGUGCAGGUGGUCCGCCAGCUGCUGCCGCUCCCGCUCUGCCGCCUCCCGCACCCGGCGUGCCUCGGCCGUGAAGCGCCGCCGCUCGGCUCGCCCGCGCGCGCGCUCCUCCUCCAGCUCGACCCGAAGCUUCUCCAGCUCUCGCCUCUGCUCCUCCAGGACUGCUGCCGCCUGGCCGGGGCUUCCUAGCCUUUUGGGUGACGUGCGGCUGCCACCCAAGGGGGUGGGUGAGUCCUCGGUCAUUGUGGCUGAAGCCCGGCCAGACACCUGACCUCGCCUGGCAGGCCGCAGCUCGCCAACGGCUGCCGCCCCGGCCGAGGCCAACCGCCCCGCGCGCCCCUUCCGGCGCCCCCUGGCUGUCUCCUCGAGCCCCUUCCUCCUCGGGGGCCUUACUAAAUCAUCCAGCCUGGGCUUGAACCUGCCAUCUUCCAGCCUCAGAGUCCCAAAGUGCUGGGAUGACAGGCACUUCGUACCUGCUAUCGGACUGGACGCUCCAGAAAGGCCAGGUCUCUGCCUGUCUGGUUCAUCCAGAUUCACCCACGCCUCCCCAGCACUGUGACCAGCACAAAGUAAGGGCUCAGCUCAGGUAGGCGCCCCGCCCCCCGCCCCCC